rnacentral:rRNA from 1 species
CGUGUAGGCGGCCAACCAAGUCGGGUGUGAAAGCCCUCGGCUCAACCGAGGAAGUGCGCCCGAAACUAGCUGGCUUGAGUACCAGAGAGGGUGGCGGAAUUCCCGGUGUAGAGGUGAAAUUCGUAGAUAUCGGGAGGAACACCAGCGGCGAAGGCGGCCACCUGGAUGGAUACUGACGCUGAGACGCGAAAGCGUGGGGAACAAACA